UUAAAUUGAAGAGUUUGAUCAUGGCUCAGAUUGAACGCUGGCGGCAGGCCUAACACAUGCAAGUCGAGCGGUAGCACAGAGAGCUUGCUCUCGGGUGACGAGCGGCGGACGGGUGAGUAAUGUCUGGGAAACUGCCUGAUGGAGGGGGAUAACUACUGGAAACGGUAGCUAAUACCGCAUAACGUCGCAAGACCAAAGUGGGGGACCUUCGGGCCUCAUGCCAUCAGAUGUGCCCAGAUGGGAUUAGCUAGUAGGUGGGGUAACGGCUCACCUAGGCGACGAUCCCUAGCUGGUCUGAGAGGAUGACCAGCCACACUGGAACUGAGACACGGUCCAGACUCCUACGGGAGGCAGCAGUGGGGAAUAUUGCACAAUGGGCGCAAGCCUGAUGCAGCCAUGCCGCGUGUGUGAAGAAGGCCUUCGGGUUGUAAAGCACUUUCAGCGGGGAGGAAGGCGUUAAGGUUAAUAACCUUGGCGAUUGACGUUACCCGCAGAAGAAGCACCGGCUAACUCCGUGCCAGCAGCCGCGGUAAUACGGAGGGUGCAAGCGUUAAUCGGAAUUACUGGGCGUAAAGCGCACGCAGGCGGUCUGUCAAGUCGGAUGUGAAAUCCCCGGGCUCAACCUGGGAACUGCAUUCGAAACUGGCAGGCUAGAGUCUUGUAGAGGGGGGUAGAAUUCCAGGUGUAGCGGUGAAAUGCGUAGAGAUCUGGAGGAAUACCGGUGGCGAAGGCGGCCCCCUGGACAAAGACUGACGCUCAGGUGCGAAAGCGUGGGGAGCAAACAGGAUUAGAUACCCUGGUAGUCCACGCCGUAAACGAUGUCGAUUUGGAGGUUGUGCCCUUGAGGCGUGGCUUCCGGAGCUAACGCGUUAAAUCGACCGCCUGGGGAGUACGGCCGCAAGGUUAAAACUCAAAUGAAUUGACGGGGGCCCGCACAAGCGGUGGAGCAUGUGGUUUAAUUCGAUGCAACGCGAAGAACCUUACCUGGUCUUGACAUCCACAGAACUUAGCAGAGAUGCUUUGGUGCCUUCGGGAACUGUGAGACAGGUGCUGCAUGGCUGUCGUCAGCUCGUGUUGUGAAAUGUUGGGUUAAGUCCCGCAACGAGCGCAACCCUUAUCCUUUGUUGCCAGCGGUUAGGCCGGGAACUCAAAGGAGACUGCCAGUGAUAAACUGGAGGAAGGUGGGGAUGACGUCAAGUCAUCAUGGCCCUUACGACCAGGGCUACACACGUGCUACAAUGGCAUAUACAAAGAGAAGCGACCUCGCGAGAGCAAGCGGACCUCAUAAAGUAUGUCGUAGUCCGGAUUGGAGUCUGCAACUCGACUCCAUGAAGUCGGAAUCGCUAGUAAUCGUAGAUCAGAAUGCUACGGUGAAUACGUUCCCGGGCCUUGUACACACCGCCCGUCACACCAUGGGAGUGGGUUGCAAAAGAAGUAGGUAGCUUAACCUUCGGGAGGGCGCUUACCACUUUGUGAUUCAUGACUGGGGUGAAGUCGUAACAAGGUAACCG
rnacentral:rRNA from 1 species